rnacentral:rRNA from 1 species
UACGGAGGGUGCAAGCGUUAAUCGGAAUUAUUGGGCGUAAAGCGCGCGCAGGCGGUCCUUUAAGUCUGAUGUGAAAGCCCACGGCUCAACCGUGGAGGGUCAUUGGAAACUGGGGGACUUGAGUGCAGAAGAGGAAAGCGGAAUUCCACGUGUAGCGGUGAAAUGCGUAGAGAUGUGGAGGAACACCAGUGGCGAAGGCGGCUUUCUGGACCAAUACUGACGCUCAUGCACGAAAGCGUGGGGAGCAAACAGG